rnacentral:rRNA from 1 species
AUACGUAGGUGGCGAGCGUUGUCCGGAAUUACUGGGUGUAAAGGGCGUGUAGACGGGUAUGCAAGUCAGAUGUGAAAUUCCAGGGCUCAACCCUGGCGCUGCAUCUGAAACUGUAUAUCUUGAGUGCUGGAGAGGAAAGCGGAAUUCCUAGUGUAGCGGUGAAAUGCGUAGAUAUUAGGAGGAACACCAGUGGCGAAGGCGGCUUUCUGGACAGUAACUGACGUUGAGGCGCGAAAGCGGUGGGGAGC